rnacentral:rRNA from 1 species
UACGUAGGGGGGCAAGCGUUGCCCGGAAUCAUUGGGCGUAAAGAGCGUGUAGGCGGCUCGGUAAGUCCGCUGUGAAAGUCCAGGGCUCAACCCUGGAAUGCCGGUGGAAACUGUCGAGCUCGAGUCCGGAAGAGGCGAGUGGAAUUCCUGGUGUAGCGGUGAAAUGCGCAGAUAUCAGGAGGAACACCAAUGGCGAAGGCAGCAUCGCUGGGACGGUAGCUGACGCUGAGACGCGAAAGCGUGGGGAGCAAACAGG